GAUGAACGCUGGCGGCGUGCCUAAUACAUGCAAGUCGAGCGAACGGACGAGGAGCUUGCUUCUCUGAUGUUAGCGGCGGGCGGGUGAGUAACACGUGGAUAACCUACCUAUAAGACUGGGGAAACUUCGGGAAACCGGAGCUAAUACCGGAUAAUAUUUUGAACCGCAUGGUUCAAAAGUGAAAGACGGUCUUGCUGUCACUUAUAGAUGGAUCCGCGCUGCAUUAGCUAGUUGGUAAGGUAACGGCCUACCAAGGCCACUAUGCAUAGCCGAACUGCGAGGGGGAUCGGCCACACUAGAGCGGAGACACGGACCAUGCUCCUACGGGAGGCAGCAGUAGGGUAUCUUCCGCAAUGGGCGAAAGCCUGACGGAGCAACGCCGCGUGAGUGGUGAAGGUCUUCGGAUCGUAAAACUCUGUUAUUAGGGAAGAACAUAUGUGUAAGUAACUGUGCACAUCUUGACGGUACCUAAUCAGAAAGCCACGGCUAACUACGUG
rnacentral:rRNA from 1 species